UGGGGAAUAUUGGACAAUGGGCGAAAGCCUGAUCCAGCCAUGCCGCGUGUGUGAAGCAGGUCUUCGGAUUGUAAAGCACUUUAAGUUGGGAGGAAGGGCAGUAAGCGAAUACCUUGCUGUUUUGACGUUACCGACAGAAUAAGCACCGGCUAACUCUGUGCCAGCAGCCGCGGUAAUACAGAGGGUGCAAGCGUUAAUCGGAAUUACUGGGCGUAAAGCGCGCGUAGGUGGUUCGUUAAGUUGAAUGUGAAAGCCCCGGGCUCAACCUGGGAACUGCAUCCAAAACUGGCGAGCUAGGGUAGGGCAGAGGGUGGUGGAAUUUCCUGUGUAGCGGUGAAAUGCGUAGAUAUAGGAAGGAACGCCAGUGGCGAAGGCGACCACCUGGGCUCAUACUGACACUGAGGUGCGAAAGCGUGGGGAGCAAACAGG
rnacentral:rRNA from 1 species